rnacentral:tRNA from 1 species
GCCGGAUUAGCUCAGACGGUAGAGCGACUGUUUCGUAAACAGUAGGUCGCUGGUUCGAUCCCAGUAUCCGGCU